rnacentral:rRNA from 1 species
UACGAAGGGUGCAAACGUUGCUCGGAAUUAUUGGGCGUAAAGCGCACGUAGGCGGCGCAGUAAGUCCCAUGUGAAAGCCCACGGCUUAACCGUGGAAGUGCAUGGGAAACUACUGUGCUUGAGUACUUAAGAGGAUCGCGGAAUUCCCGGUGUAGAGGUGAAAUUCGUAGAUAUCGGGAGGAACACCAGUGGCGAAGGCGGCUCACUGGCUCGAUACUGACGCUGAGGUGCGAAAGCGUGGGAGCAAACAGG